rnacentral:rRNA from 1 species
ACGGGUGCGUAACGCGUGGGAAUCUGCCCUUGGGUACGGAAUAACUCAGAGAAAUUUGUGCUAAUACCGUAUAAUGACUUCGGUCCAAAGAUUUAUCGCCCAAGGAUGAGCCCGCGUAAGAUUAGCUAGUUGGUGGGGUAAAAGCCUACCAAGGCGACGAUCUUUAGCUGGUCUGAGAGGAUGAUCAGCCACACUGGGACUGAGACACGGCCCAGACUCCUACGGGAGGCAGCAGUGGGGAAUAUUGGACAAUGGGCGAAAGCCUGAUCCAGCAAUGCCGCGUGAGUGAUGAAGGCCCUAGGGUUGUAAAGCUCUUUUACCCGGGAUGAUAAUGACAGUACCGGGAGAAUAAGCUCCGGCUAACUCCGUGCCAGCAGCCGCGGUAAUACGGAGGGAGCUAGCGUUGUUCGGAAUUACUGGGCGUAAAGCGCGCGUAGGCGGUCUUUUAAGUCAGAGGUGAAAGCCCGGGGCUCAACCCCGGAAUAGCCUUUGAAACUGGAAGACUUGAAUCUUGGAGAGGUCAGUGGAAUUCCGAGUGUAGAGGUGAAAUUCGUAGA